GCAACAAUGACUAUAAAACAUGAUGGGAUGAUGAAAGAAAGAAUUCAAGUAUUGUUUGUAAAGUUCCUCAGACAUCAGUCUUGAAAAGCGUGUGCAUUUCCCAUCUUUGCAUAGUAAAAAACAAACAAAAAAAGCCCCACACACAUCACUUGAUAAAACUCCACAGCUCUAUGUGACGUAUGUUUCAUAACAUGCACCUAUGUGUACUGCUCAUUGGUCUAGCAGGAGUAGCUCUAGUUCAGUGGGCUCAUGCACUAUCCCAGGUGAGUGAUGAAAUCAGCGCAUGUCUCCUCAUCCAGGUGUCAUUGAUUAUCACAGCAAAAGUACAGCAGGUGAAAUGGGAACCUGGUCAUCACUUAACACUCUUGUUGGGUAACAUUAAACAGUAACAUGCUUGUGCUUUGAGCUCAAAUAAAAAGGAGUAUCUACACCACAAAAAUUGGCAAAUGAAUGUCAUAUGCAAGAGAAAAUACAGCGAAGAGUUUGAAACUACAUAACCUAACACCACCAAAAAUAACUGUAAUCCAUUGUUUACAAUAUGGUUGCAUUACCUUUCAUAUUCACACACAAAGCUUAAAGCUUGUGUAUUUUACAUAUACACACAAAUAAUUUAACAUUGGAGCAUAGGUUUGGUUACCUAUGAAACUGCCAGCAUAAUGAAAAGUUACACUGACAUUUUUCAUAUGUACAUAAUAUUUGGGGACCACUGUGGUCUGAUUUAAAACAUAACAUCGCACAUUUACAAUGUUGUUCAUGAAAUGCUCAAAAGCUAAUAAUUAAGAUUUAUUUUGUAACCACCAUGGUUUUAUGUCUAUUAAGUCAACACGGUGCCUCUGGAAUUGAAAUGAAAUGUGGGUGGUGCAGUUAGCAGCAGCUUCGUAUCUCCCAGUGAAGAAGAUCCCACCAAGCAGUGCAAGGCAGGGAGAGAUACCAAGUCUUCUGAGUUUCCUCCAACCUUCCUCUGAGCUGAAAGAGCCAUCACUUCUCAGUAAAGGGAUACAACCUGUGUCUUAUGAAGCCAAGAGUAAGGCUGAUAAACCUUAUAUAUAGCCCUGUUAUUAUGAUAUAAACAGAGAGCAAGUUCUAGAGAAAGACUGCAUACCUGUGUAGCACCUAUUACUCAGAAAGCAAUAAUAGGAUUAAGAUGUUACGGUCUAUGGUUCCUUAUAGAAAUUAAAGUUUCUGCUCUAUGAUCAUGACAAUCCUAUAGUUAAAAAUUCCUUGGAAGGGGGGGAAUACCACCGGUUUAAUCAGUAUGUUUCAGAACAUUAUCCUUUCCAAAGUCAAAGAAAAAGGUGUAAAAGUGAAGUCAUGAAUCUGGCUUUUUUCAGCCACCAAUUUAUACCACGAGUAGCACAACUGCAUGUCUCGCUCCUAAAAAGAGGACACUGGUGAAGUGGGUAGGGGUGGGGAGGUGGAGCUCUCUGGGGCCUUCAAUUAAACUCAUCUCUGGACGGAUGCUUACUGAAGUGACUUUGUAGAAGUCUGUACAUUCAAAACAAAGCUAGGACCAAAUUUCUUUAUUAACUUGUUCACUUGACACUUGAAUGGAAGCUAUCUUGACCAUAAAUCGAAGAAAUUAGUGAAAGUUAAGGAAACUCAGUGGGACUUGGGAACCUCAAGAUUGCAUCUGCAAAUCUGCCUGGAGGGAAUAGAAUGUGUAUCUGUCCAUAGUAGAAUCCCGUUACAAUCCAGCACAACAUUCCAGGGUCCACAUAGUCCUGUGGGUCAAUCAAGGUUUCCUGGAAACACCGCAUACCAAAGUACAGCCUGUUUUCACAACGCGGAGAAGCAGGUUAAUUGCUGCUUCUGUCCCAUUACCACUUUAACAAUGGGGUUCUACCAUAUAGAUUUUGAAGCAGUAAAAUGAAGCAUGAAUGAAAUAUUGACAAUAGAUAUGAAUAAAAUGGAAAGCUUAAUUUUUUCCAAGCUUUCAACAUUUAAAAUUUUUUUUUUUAUUUAAGGCUUUAAGUUUAUCCUCCUUUCACAUUAAAGACAGGGAAAGAAAAUUGUCACAACCAAAAAUUAAAAUCAUGAGCUUGGCACUUCUGUGAUUAAUUUGAGAGGGUGUCUACUUUCUUACAGUAUAUACAGGUUUAUGACAUUAAAAAUUUUAGAGACUUGUGAGUACAUCUAUUUUCAUUUACAUAAUUUUUUGUUUUUGAUAUGGGUUACUUUGUUGUUUGUGUCCCCCAUUUGUUUAUUUUUCGUUUCAAACAUACUAACAUUAAGUUGCACCUGUUUUGUGCCCAAACUCCCUGCAUCUGUGGCCACAUUUGUCUUUUUAAACAACAAUCAUUAGACGUGUUACGAGAGAGGACAGAGACAAAAAAGGAAAGAAAGAACAAGAGGAAAGAAACAAAAAAGAUGGGGAGCAAGCAACAAACAAAUUUACAGAGAAUCUUUACAAGAAAAAGAUUUCAAUUCAGACAAGUGAAAAUGAUGUGUCGAAAUCUCUUAUUUCCAUAUUUACAUUUAUAAAAGAACUGUACAAUAGCAUCAUUGUUCAAAUUCCAGCUCCCAUUUCAAAGAUGGUUGGUCCAGGGAAAAAAAUAAUAAUAAUGGGGGAAAUGAAUCAACAAGAGCACAGUCCCACUGAGUUCUGCCAUGGGCUGGGCCAAAAUGGGGAGUGGGGGUCACAGGGUAUGGGGAAGGGGCUGGGGGCAGGGGUGCAGGAGAGGUUCACCAGGCCCAGGCAGUUUCUGUAUGUUCAUCUGUCAUCUUCUCCUACUGAAUCCCACUGUAGGUUUUGCGAAGGAUUGGCUUGCUAGCUUGUUGGUGUAUAUAUGCCAUGCAGUUUUUACCCUUUUGAAAAUUGGAUCUUCAUGCCACUGGAGUUUGUCAUUGUUAAUAAAAGAAAAAAAAUCAUGCCAGAUCAUUUUGAAGACACAAGUGCCAGCAGGCUGAGGGGAAAAAUCAUUUGCUAUUUUAAUGGGUCUUUUAUUGCACUUAAUUUUUUUUGUUCCUUUCUCCCUUAGUUAGGAGGAAAAAAAAAAAGAUUCUGAACAGUUCUUUUCAUAACACGAUCUUUUAAACUCCCCCCGCCCCCCGUACUGACAGAUCGUAGGAGGGGUUCUUUGAAAUUAUUUCCAAAAGGGACAGUUUUCUUUUACCCCCAUCCUUGUCACCCCAACUUUGGCUCUGUAGUCAUGACCACUCAAAGUUCUGGUUUCAAGACUUAAUAGUUCUGGAAACAUUGCUGGAAGUAGAUCAUACCCAGAACCCAACAGUGCAAGGUGGUGAGCGUCCAGUGCAGUUGAUUCAGAUGGGGCCUUGCUGAGUAGGAUCAAAUCUCCUCUUCUUGACAUUUCUUCCAGAGCGCGUCAAAAGAAGAUGCAAGCAGAGGGGAGAGAAAUCCACAAUAUUAAUCAGAUGAUGAUGAGAGAAAGGUGAUGAUAAUGACAAUAAUGCUAGUUUCAGAGCAAAGUAAUCAACUCACACAGAGGCAGUCUCCAAAAUAACUGGAAACACAAAGACGUUAAUGCUUUCAAAUGUCUUUACCCCUCCCCACUAGACUGCGCAGUUUUGUGAAGAUCAAAAGACAUUUCACAUUGCUCAUUUUCAAUCACAAUGAAAC
rnacentral:lncRNA from 1 species